rnacentral:miRNA from 1 species
CAGACAGGGAAGGGCCUGCGGGAGGUUAUCACAGCCACACAUUUGCCUCCAGAAGGCCUUUCCAUGUCUGUC